AAAGUCGUAACAAGGUUUCCGUAGGUGAACCUGCGGAAGGAUCAUUAUUGAAAUAAACCUGAUGAGUUGCUGCUGGUUCUCUAGGGAGCAUGUGCACGCUUGUCAUCUUUAUAUCUCCACCUGUGCACUUUUUGUAGACCUGGAUAUCUUUCUGGAUGCCUCUAAGGCAUUCAGGUUUGAGGAUUGACUUUGUUGUCUUUCUUUACAUUUCCAGGCCUAUGUUUUCUUCAUAUACCCCAAUGUAUGUUAUAGAAUGUAAUCAAUGGGCCUUUGUGCCUAUAAACCUAUACAACUUUCAGCAACGGAUCUCUUGGCUCUU
rnacentral:misc_RNA from 1 species